GGAAUCUUCCACAAUGGGCGCAAGCCUGAUGGAGCAACACCGCGUGAGUGAAGAAGGGUUUCGGCUCGUAAAGCUCUGUUGUUAGAGAAGAACGUGCGUGAGAGCAAUUGUUCACGCAGUGACGGUAUCUAACCAGAAAGUCACGGCUAACUACGUGCCAGCAGCCGCGGUAAUACGUAGGUGGCGAGCGUUGUCCGGAAUUAUUGGGCGUAAAGGGAGCGCAGGCGGGAAGGCAAGUCAGUCUUAAAAGUGCGGGGCUCAACCCCGUGAUGGGAUUGAAACUGUCUUUCUUGAGUGCAGGAGAGGAAAGCGGAAUUCCUAGUGUAGCGGUGAAAUGCGUAGAUAUUAGGAGGAACACCAGUGGCGAAGGCGGCUUUCUGGACUGUAACUGACGCUGAGGCUCGAAAGCGUGGGGAGCGAACA
rnacentral:rRNA from 1 species